rnacentral:lncRNA from 1 species
AGUGAGUUUAGGUUAUUGAAUGUCGUAGCUACGGAAUCAUUAUUUUCCAGUGAAGGGAAAGGGGAUCGUUACAUCUUUGGUUGCAGAGCUCGGAUGAUUGAGGUGCAAAGAGAAGAAAGGGUUUUUGUUUAAAUGGGCCCAAAUAAUUAGAUCACUUAAGUCUAAAUUAUAAGGCAUUAAGCCUGAGAUGGUGGGAAACGAUAAAAGCUCCUGUCCCAAUACUAAGAUGACCUGGCAGAUUGAUUGGUGAGGAAUAUUUCUGCUCAUGUGGCACUCCUUAGAAGCUUCAAAAAUAGCUCCUUUUAUAUAGUAGGAUAGUUGUUUUGAAAUUUUGAAAAACACUUAUUCCUCAAAGUAAGCGAACUCGUUGCCAAAACUACGUACAUUUUUAUAAAACUAAACCACUAGACCACUUACAAUUAUGUUAACUUGUAUGAAUACUAAUAGUUAAUAUUAUUAAACUUCAUUUUCUCCCAACCUAAAUUCUUAAAUUGUUUCAAAUCUAAAAAUUAUAUGUUAUUUUGAAGAUUGUCGUGGCAAGGUAGUAGUCUUGGGUUGAGUCUAUGGGACAUAUCUUGGAGCUCAUCAGUGUCUCCAUUCAU